rnacentral:rRNA from 1 species
AGGGUUUGAUUCUGGCUCAGGAUGAACGCUGGCGGCGUGCCUAACACAUGCAAGUCGAGCGAUUUACUUCGGUAAAGAGCGGCGGACGGGUGAGUAACGCGUGGGUAACCUGCCCUGUACACACGGAUAACAUACCGAAAGGUAUGCUAAUACGAGAUAAUAUGCUUUUAUCGCAUGGUAGAAGUAUCAAAGCUCCGGCGGUACAGGAUGGACCCGCGUCUGAUUAGCUAGUUGGUAAGGUAACGGCUUACCAAGGCGACGAUCAGUAGCCGACCUGAGAGGGUGAUCGGCCACAUUGGAACUGAGACACGGUCCAA